ACGAGUGGCAUACCGCUCAGUAACACGUAGCUAACCUACCCUCGGGACGGGUACACCCCCGGGAAACUGGGGCUAAUACCAAUAGGCGUGGAGGCCUGGAAUGGUUCCACACCUAAAUGCGGUACGACCAUGUUCGUAUCGUGCCCGAGGAUGGGGCUGCGGCCGAUCAGCAGUUGGCGAGGUAACGGCUCACCAAACCAUUGACCGGUACGGGCCAUGAGAGUGGGAGCCCGGAGAUGGGCACUGAGACAGGGGCCCAGCCCUACGGGGCGCAGCAGCGCGAAACCUCCACAAUGUACGGAAGUACGAUGGGGUUACCUUGAGUGCAGUCCGAUUAGGGCUGCUUUUCCAUAGAGUAAUAUCCUGUGGGAAUAAGAGGGGGGCAAAGACUGGUGUCAGCCGCCGCGGUAACACCACCCCUCGAGUGGUGGGGACUUUUAUUGGGCCUAAAGCGUCCGUAGCCGGCUGUGUCCGUUAUCCGUUAAAUCCGGGCGUCCUAAGCGUCGGACUGCGGGUGAUA
rnacentral:rRNA from 1 species